UACGGGGGGGGCAAGCGUUGUUCGGAAUUACUGGGCGUAAAGGGCUCGUAGGUGGCCAACUAAGUCAUACGUGAAAUCCCUCGGCUUAACCGGGGAACUGCGUCUGAUACUGGAUGGCUGGAGUGCGGGAGAGGUAAGCGGAAUUCCUGGUGUAGCGGUGAAAUGCGUAGAUAUCAGGAGGAACACCUGCGGUGUAGACGGCUUACUGGACCGUAACUGACGUUGAGGCACGAAAGCGUGGGUAGCAAACAGG
rnacentral:rRNA from 1 species